rnacentral:lncRNA from 1 species
CGUCGGCUCCCCACCAGAUAUGGGUUCACCUAUGCUCCCUUUUUAACGUUAUUGAUCUUGUUCCUUUUUUGAGCGGUAGAAAAAGAGGAGAUAGGGUUUUGCAUGCCUCUCUUUAUCACUUUCAGCUGCCUCCUUUUUUCCUUUUUAAAGCUGCUCAUUUUUCUUCUUCAGAGAUGCUUCCUUUUCCCUCUUCAGAGCUACUUCAUUUUUCUUCUUCAGAGCUGCUCAUUCUUCCUAUUCAGAAUUACUUCCUUUUUCCUCUUCGGAGUUGCUUUAUUUUUGCUGUUCAGAAUUACUUCAUUUUUUCUCUUUUCUUCUUCUCUUUUCAAUCUUU